UGCCGCGGCGGCGGCAACUCGGCGGCAGUAGCACAUGAUCACUCGCGCCGGCCUAUCGCGUCGCUCAACCGACGCACAAUAAAACCUCAUUUCAUUUCAUUCUUUUUUCAAAACGUGUGUGCCAGUGCUCUUUGUGAUAGUUUUAAGUUUUUAUAAUCUGUGGAUUUGGUAGUCAUUCAGAACCUUCCAGUACAUGAUGGUAAUGCAACGAUGACGACCGGCAUGAAGAUGGAGUCGAAAGGCACCCAGAUCCACCUUCCGCUGAUGGGCAGGGGGAGCAGAGGGGAGCUCAGUGACAAGGUCAUGUUCUCAGUCAAGUCUCCGCCGGAGCAGCUCAAUAAUGGACAACUACUAGGUGGCUCACAAAUGAACCUAUGCAACGGCGGCGCGGGCGCAUCAAUGACAGGCCUGGUGCCGAAGAUUCCCAACGGCCUUGGAGACCAGAAGAAGCCAAUGGCAACUCUCACACACCUGCCCAAACGCCCACCAGUGGACAUAGAGUUCUCUGACCUCUCUUACUCUGUCAGUGAAGGGAGAAAGAGAGGGUACAAAGCUCUGUUGAAGUGUAUCAAUGGAACGUUCAGGUCUGGAGAGCUGACCGCCAUCAUGGGGCCUUCUGGAGCAGGCAAGAGUACUCUGAUGAACAUCUUAGCGGGUUACAAGACAUCGAACGUAAGCGGAUCGAUCCUCAUAAACGGGAAGGAGCGAAACCUGCGGAGGUUCAGGAAACUGUCCUGCUACAUCAUGCAAGACGACUGCCUGUUACCCCACCUCACCGUCAGAGAAGCCAUGUUCGUCUCCGCCAACCUCAAACUGGGCAAAGACAUGACCGCAGCGGCCAAAAAAAUCGUCAUAGACGAGAUACUAGAAAUGUUAGGACUGGUCGAAGCCAGCGACACCAGAACGAUAAACCUCUCUGGAGGACAGAAGAAGAGGUUAUCCAUAGCUUUAGAGUUAGUUAACAACCCUCCUGUGAUGUUCUUUGACGAACCCACUUCUGGAUUGGACAGUUCGUCGUGUUUCCAGUGUAUAUCUUUGUUGAAGUCCCUCGCAAGGGGCGGGAGGACUAUCAUCUGCACCAUCCAUCAGCCGUCCGCGAGACUUUUCGAGAUGUUUGACUUUUUGUACACGUUGACGGAAGGGCAGUGCAUAUACCAGGGGCGCGUCAGCGGGCUGGUGCCAUUCCUGUCGUCGAUGGGACUCCACUGCCCGAGUUAUCACAAUCCUGCUGAUUACGUAAUGGAAGUGGCAACCGGCGAGCAUGGUGACUGGGUGCACAAGCUGGUGAUGGCGGUGAACAAGGGCAACUGCGGCCGAGGACAGUCCACAUCAUCAUCAUCAUCCUCCGUGCCACAGAACAGCAACUACAUCUACAACAAUCUCGCGACUAAGAACAACGCACCCAAGAAUGAGACUACGGAAAUUGUUAUAGAUAAACCAACCUGCACUGUGAUAGAUAUGUCGGAACCUGCCCUCAACCCAGAAAAACAACCGCUACCCAAUGUUACCAACUUGGCUCCUGUAACUUGCACCACAUCACUCCUCGACUCCAGCGAAAGUUUCACCAAGAAGCCGGUUAAAGCAGGAUUCCCUACAUCAGGAUGGAAGCAGUUCUGGAUCCUGCUGAAGAGGACCUUUAGGAGUAUACUCAGGGAUCAAAUGCUGACGCAUCUAAGGCUGUGCUCCCAUACCGUAGUCGGUCUACUGAUUGGGUUCCUGUAUUAUGACAUUGGGUCUGAUGCUGCGAAGGUUAUGAGCAACGCUGGCUGUAUCUUCUUCACUGUGAUGUUCACUAUGUUCACGGCAAUGAUGCCUACAAUACUUACAUUCCCAACAGAGAUGAGUGUGUUUGUGAGAGAGCAUCUUAACUACUGGUACUCGCUGAAGGCGUUCUAUUUCGCUAAGACUAUGGCGGAUCUGCCCUUCCAGAUCGUCUUCAGCGGAGUCUACGUGAUAAUAGUUUACUUCAUGACAGGCCAACCGAUGCAGACAGAUCGAGUGCUUAUGUUCACUACAAUAAACAUACUAACAGCACUCGUCGCUCAGUCGCUAGGUCUUCUCAUCGGUGCUGCCAUGAAGAUAGAAACAGGCGUCUACCUUGGCCCGGUCACCACAAUACCAGUAGUGUUAUUCUCUGGAUUCUUCGUCAACUUCAAUGCAAUUCCCAGUUACUUACAAUGGCUCACGUACUUGAGUUAUGUUAGAUACGGCUUCGAAGGAGCCAUGCUGUCCGUCUAUGGGUACGGCAGGGAAAAACUACAUUGCUCAGAAGCAUACUGCCAUUUCCGUGUACCGUCGAAGUUCUUGUCAGAAAUGUCAAUGGAACACGCGAAUUUUUGGAUCGAUGUUGGAGCCCUGUGCGGGUUCUUCGUAUUUAUUAGAAUAAUCUCGUACCUAGUGCUGAGGUUCAAGUUGAAGAUGAUGCAGUAGUGUAGCACAAAGGCUUUGAUUCCAGUUGCGGCCGGCCAAGGCGUUGGUCUGAAAAAUGUUCUGAUAGGAUUAAACGGGGCUUGAAAAUGAUCAAAUUAAAUAUAAGUGUUUUAUAGUAGCUAUAGAUACUAGGAACGAAUAGGUUUAAAAUUAGAUAGUUUUCGUAUAAAAUUUUCAUUUUAAGACGGUCACAGCACCAUAUCGUAAAAGUUGCUUCAUCUCAUAGACGUAUGAUAUUGACCCUUAUAAUAACGGUAAUGAUUUAUAGGUUUUCAGUAAUAUUUGGAUCCUUUAUAGAUAUUAUAUAAUGUUACUCUACUUCAAGCCCUGUACGUUCAUGUUCGCGACGCUGUGUUCAUAUUAAUAGGAAUCUGGUUUUGGUGUUUCGAUGGCGGUAGGGCCUGUACUUUACAUGUAAUAAUUUGUUAGAAAGCUAGCUACUUAAUACAUCGGUUCCCUAAAUUUAAGCAAAAAUAAACUCUGCGGAGUGUUUGCUCUUGUACCUGAAAUAGUUAAUGGAAUGAGCGAUAUGUAUAAUGUGAGUCACAGUCACCUCAUGAUUAAAACAUUCUUCUCACCAACGCCCUGAGUUGUAGGUUUACUGAUAGUUUUCGAAAUAUUUAGCUUUAUAGGGGGCAGACCUUGAAAUAGUUGUUUAUACGUACUUAUAGGGGUAGAUGUUAAGGUUUUAUAGGAGAUCGGGCCCAUGACUUAAUGUUAAGUUCCUUAUAAUUGCUGAAUAUGCAUUAGGGUUGAAGUUGUUGCAUGUGCAAUAUUGCUUUACGCCAUACUUUGUAUAAUAAUUACGCCUAAUAUUUGAUAAUAUUUGAACGAAUCGCUAGGGUAACAUUCCAGAGUGCCUAUCCAAGAUGCAAAUGUUCCUAUUUCUAUAGUCGUUAACGUUUACCCCAUCAUUUUCUUAGCGUUAACCUGAAGAUUUAAUAGGUCCGGUAUUUUACAGAAGCCGCUGCCUGUCGGACCUUUCAACCCGAAGGGAAAAUCUCUAGAUCACAUUCCUACGAAAACACCAUUCUGGGGUUUGUAGGUUUUCUGGUUUCGGAGUGAAGCGUUCUUCUAACUGGGCUGCCACGGUUCAUAUAACCCGUACGGAUUUAAUAAACAUUUUGGCGUCCGUCCGUCUCGAUUCAAAUGGGCUAUUUGUAUUUUAGCGAGUUUAGAAACAGGAACAUUUGCCAUUUGGCUAGGCCCUCAGUUUUCUUACAGUUUAUAUUCCAACAACUCCCGAAUCGAUUGGCAGCAACUGUAGAUUUAGCAAGUUGUAAAAUUUUGCUCACUUUUAGGUAUGUCCAAUCGAUUAUUAGGAGUUACUGGUUAUUUGAUGUUUUUAAAUAAAAAUGUAAAAUAAAAAAAUCCGGUAUAUAAUGCUGUGAAUCAUAGUUAUACUUAUUUCAUUUAUUUUGCGUCAUAGUCUUUUUAUAACAGAAUUUGCUUAUCUAACAAGUUUAAUAUUUAAUGUUGAUUACUGUCGAAUACCUAUGUAAUUUUGGACAAAUUAUCUCAACACAUUGCAAAUACAAGAAUUAAAUACUUAAAAAAAAAUUGUGGAAUUAUCAUGAACCAAUGUCUUGUCUUUCAUGGCUUUAUAAGAUAGACUUAAGAGCCUUUUACUUUUGCUUCUGCUUUCUUGACUACUACGUAGGGAAGAGGCAAACUAAAGGUUUUAACUUUGUCAACUUUUUUGACAUGAAUCUGCCCCUGUCGACGGUGUAACGAGUUUACACUAACAUAACAUAAGAAAUACUUUAUUGCACAAACAGGAAAAACAAAAUACAAAACAAAACCCUAACUUCUUUAAAUUACUUAUGCGAUAUUGGACGUUUUGUGGUGGUUUCCAGUCAUAACGGCAGUCAUAACACGUGGAUCAUUUGUUGGCAUUGAUACAAAACCUCGCGCCCGGCCCGGUCUGCAGCAGCACUUGCUGAUGUAGGUAUACAUAGCAUUACGCCUGUAUCGGGGUAGGCAGAUGUAUGUAUAGUAUACACACCCACUACCCGCCAGCUAUGCUAUGUAAAUCCGUAAUAGCCCUGUUCGGAAAUCGCGUGACUUACAUCGUAGUGUGUGUUUGAAUCCCAGCUCGGGCUUUAAAUCACUGAAUUAGACUAUAGGAGUUUGAAUUCAUGUUUGGCUCAUAGAUAACUGAUAGAAAGAAAGAAAGAAAGAAACAUUUAUUACUACCGGACACCACAGACACAGGUACAUUACAUUUAACACAGGACAGAAACCACACGGAAAUCAAUAAGUACACAGACAAAAAAAAUCCAAAAGAAAAACAAACCAAAAUCAUAAAAACAAUAAUAAUUAAACUAAGUAUUCUAAAUAAAUUAAUAUCACGUGGUUUCCAGGUUUUGUGUCUCUUUAAUGGCAAUAGGCUCGUCCCCCUAUAUUACAUGGUGAUUCUGUCUGCAGUAUAUCCAUAAAUUAUCUAGUAGAUAGCAGUUCGGCUAUCUGACAUAUUAUUUAUCUGUCAGACAGAUUGGAUCGUGCAAUAGUUGGCAAACGUGAAACAGACUCUUAAGUCAUAGAAUAUAGAAUACUAAAUGGGGCAGUAACGGGGAAUGCUUCUUGUAAUUUAAGAGCCACGCUCUUGUCAGUGUAGCAUUCUCCACGCUGUUUUCUAUGGCAAAAUAGGGCAGUGGUUUCCUUCUUGCCUUCCGUCCCGUAGCACUCUGUCUGACGCGAGUGUGAUGGCGCCCAGAGUAGUCUAUUUCAUAGCCGUAUUAGGACUCCUGUCCUUCGUCUCUGAAUAGUAUUGGCAGUUACCGCUGCCCUCUGUUAGGUUCUAGGUUACAGUCCCUGUGACGCGCCCCUUCCGUCCUGGAUUGCCAUUGAGGACUUCACCUGUAUCCGUGGGCAAGGAUUCCACGUUAUACCCCGCACUCGCGGCUUACACUUACAGAGCUGAUUUUUUUUUUAUGGAGUGUCCGGGGUGCAUAAGUUAUAAAUAGUUAUUACUCAUUUUAGGUUUCAUAGUUUCGGCCCUAAUAACUGCCGUUUUGAUAGGACUCCACCACACUUUCCAUCUUAUGCAACUUUAAUCCCAAUGUAUAUCCCGCUUUACUUAAUGAUAUUAUUAUUACUUAUUCUUAAUUAUUAAUUAGUUAAAUUUAUAUUUAAACUCACGACGUAGAACUCUACCGGUUACUGUACUCAAUUUUACAUUAAAAAUUCUAGAUUUUACUAGACUCUUAAAACCCUUCAUUACGCUAAAGAUAUUCGGUAAAUCUCUAUGUCUAUCCUAAUUACCAGUAUUUAAUAAAUAAUAAACGACUGUGAUUUUUAUAAUA
rnacentral:misc_RNA from 1 species